rnacentral:sRNA from 1 species
ACCUGCGGAGGAUCAUUGUCGAAACCUGCCCAGCAGAACGACCAGCGAACUCUUGAAAACACCGGUGGGUGCGCGCCUCGCGUGCGCUCCCAUCCCUUCUGCCUCAGGGGCGGGCACCUUGCCUGUGCCUGUUGCGCAGACAACAAACCCCCGGCGCAGGAUGCGCCAAGGAAAACCAACGAGAGAGCACGGUCCCAUGCCCCGGAGACGGUGCGCUUGGGACGCGGUGCCUUCUUUCACAAUAUCUAUAACGACUCUCGGCAACGGAUAUCUCGGCUCUCGCAUCGAUGAAGAACGCAGCGAAAUGCGAUACUUGGUGUGAAUUGCAGAAUCCCGUGWACCAUCGAGUCUUUGAACGCAAGUUGCGCCCCAWGCUGUUAGGCUGAGGGCACGUCUGCCUGGGUGUCACGCAUCGUUGCCCCACCCCACCCCCUCGGGGGCAGGUGGUGUYGGCGGAGAUUGGCCUCCCGUGUGCURCCCRUCGCGGUUGGCCCAAAUUUGAGUCCUCGGCGACYGAAGCCGUGACGAUCGGUGGUGCAAGCAUGCCUCUCGAGCUCAUGUCACGUGCCUACGUCUUCGACAAGGCUCUCAAGGACCCUGACGCUCUGCGCAAGCGGAGCUCRCAUCGCGACCCCAGGUCAGGCGGGAUUACCCGCUGAGUUUAAGC